rnacentral:rRNA from 1 species
UACGUAGGGUGCGAGCGUUAAUCGGAAUUACUGGGCGUAAAGCGUGCGUAGGCGGUUCCUCAAGUCCGUUGUGAAAGCCCCGGGCUCAACCUGGGAAUGGCAGUGGAAACUAGGGGACUGGAAUCUGGCAGAGGGGGGUGGAAUGCCGCGGUGUAGCAGUGAAAUGCGUAGAGAUGACGGCGGAACACCGAUGGCGAAGGCAGCCCCUGGGCUGAGAUUGACGCUCAGGCACGAAAGCGUGGGGAGCAAACAGG